AUGGCUCAGAUUGAACGCUAGCGGGAUGCCUUACACAUGCAAGUCGAACGGCAGCGCGGACUUCGGUCUGGCGGCGAGUGGCGAACGGGUGAGUAAUGUAUCGGAACGUGCCCAGUAGCGGGGACAACCACUCGAAAGAGUGGCUAAUACCGCAUACGCCCUACGGGGAAAGGGGGGGAUCGCAAGACCUCUCACUAUUGGAGCGGCCGAUAUCGGAUUAGCUAGUUGGUGGGGUAAAGGCCUACCAAGGCGACGAUCCGUAGCUGGUUUGAGAGGACGACCAGCCACACUGGGACUGAGACACGGCCCAGACUCCUACGGGAGGCAGCAGUGGGGAAUUUUGGACAAUGGGGAAACCCUGAUCCAGCCAUUCCGCGUGUGCGAUGAAGGCCUUCGGGUUGUAAAGCACUUUUGGCAGGAAAGAAAUCGUGUGGGUUAAUACCCUGCGCGGAUGACGGUACCUGCAGAAUAAGCACCGGCUAACUACGUG
rnacentral:rRNA from 1 species